GGCAGUAUUCCACACCCCCUCGGGCCUUUUUGCUUAAAUAACCCUUCAUUUCACUAUUAGAUGUCUCCUUGCCUUUUAAUUUUGUGCUCAAGAAAGAAUAUAAGGGAUUUUGUUGAAUGACAGGUUCAAGAUUUGAUUGCUUAAACGUAGAACAUGCUACUGUUUAAAUAAAUAAAUGUUUUGUUUUUAGAAUUGUUUUCUGCUUUCCCUUCUUUUCAGUUUCAAUAUUUGUAUUAAAACUGUCUGUGGAAUAUUGCAGUAAUAAGAAGUUGCAGUAAAGUAUUUUUUAUACUUAUAUUUUUUAUUAUACUCAGUUAAAAGUAAAAUUCUAGGAGGAAUCGUUAAGGUUACCUCAUUGACAGAGGUUUAAUAUAAAUGAGCUGUUAAGAGUUUUAGACGCCGUCUGAGGGACUGACCACCCUGAGGGCGGAGCCAAAAGAACAGUUUAUAGAGUUGCAGAAGAUAAGAAACUGUUUUUCUUGUUAUUAAAUAUUGUGCUUUUCGUAAAAUUGUAACAGACAAAAAAAACAUUUUAUUGACACACCCCAACAGGGGUUUAGUUAAGGGCACUGAAGGUGGUCUAUCAAUUUACUUUACGGUCAAUUUUUGCUCAUCAUUUGAUUUUUUGAUAUAGAUUUGUGAUUGAUUGAUUGAUCUGGGAUUUUUUUUAUGCCUGUUUCUGGCAUUUUUUAUGAACUCGAUUUAUUGUUCUGAAACCCGGUGUCAUCAAAGAGUCAUACAAGUGCAUGUCGUUUUCACCUGGGUCUCGGAAAUAGGUUUGAUUAAAUGAGGAUCUCUGGCAAAUUAUCUUGGUUAAUUUUCUUCCAUAGGAAACCCGAGUAGCUGGUAUAAAAGAACCUAACCUGAGACCAAACUAUAGGUACUGAGUGCAUUGGUACGAGUCGUAGGGAGGGGUGUCUCUGGGCUGAAGCCAACCCAGAGGAGGGCGACACACUCACGUUGUGCCGAGGUUGAAACUCUGGCCCGUUCGAUCCUGAGAAGGCGCCGGGUUUAUAAGGUUCAGGGUGAGGGAGCGUAGGCACACGACUUCAGGGAUAGCCCACUUUACUGUAAGGCCCUGACUGUUGAGUCUGAGGAUAGCCCACUUUACUGUAAGGCCCUUACUGUUGAGUCUGAGGAUAGUCCACUUUACUGUAAGGCCCUUGCUGUUGAGUCUGAGGAUAGCCCACUUUACUGUAAGGCCCUGACUGUUGAGUCUGAGGAUAGCCCACUUUACUGUAAGGCCCUUACUGUUGAGUCUGAGGAUAGUCCACUUUACUGUAAGGCCCUGACUGUUGAGUCUGAGGAUAGUCCACUUUACUGUA
rnacentral:lncRNA from 1 species